GACGAACGCUGGCGGCGUGCCUAACACAUGCAAGUGGAGCGACGAACCAGGCUUCGGCCUGGGGCAAAGCCGCGAACGGGUGAGUAACACGUGGGUAACCUGCCCUGAUGAUUGGGACAACCCGAGGAAACUCGGGCUAAUACCAAAUGUGCCCUUCGGCCAUAAGGCCGCCGGGGAAAGGAAGCUUCGGCCUCCGCAUCUGGAUGGGCCCGCGGCCCAUUAGCUUGUUGGUGAGGUAACGGCUCACCAAGGCGACGAUGGGUAGCUGGUCUGAGAGGACGAUCAGCCACACUGGGACUGAGACACGGCCCAGACUCCUACGGGAGGCAGCAGUGGGGAAUCUUGCGCAAUGCGCGAAAGCGUGACGCAGCAACGCCGCGUGGGGGAAG
rnacentral:rRNA from 1 species